GCAAAAACAGUUGAAGCAUUUAACUAUUGAUGAUCCUUAUGGCAUAAAGGAUUCUUUCGAUGUUGUUUCCUUUCUGGAAGACAACCAUUCAGUAGCCGACAUUUUUUCUGUUGAUGUCGAAGAUCUUUACUAUUCAAUACCGCAUGAUGAGCUAUUUCGCAGUGUGAUGACGUGCAUCGAAGAAAGUGGCGAGGUAGAUUUUUGCAAUGCCACCGGGUUGUCUUCAGAAGGUUUCAUGUCCCUUCUUGAAUUUUAUUUAAGUGCAACUUUUAUCCUGUUCGAAAAUAACCUUUUUAUCCAGAAAAAUGGUGUGUGUAUUGGUUCAUGUGUGGCGCCUGCUCUUUGUAAUAUUUUUUUAUCUUUUGUCGACCGCACUCUUAAGAGUGCCUUAAACAAUGACUCGGUUCAAAUUUUUAGAUAUGUUGACGAUUUUCUUGUUGUGAUAAAACAGACCAACAACGAAUGCUCCGUGACGGUAGCUGAUAUUUUAACACUUUUCAAUGACAAUGGCAAAGGUUUAACUUUCACACAUGAGCUAUCUAGGGACGGUAAACUCCAGUUUUUAGAUUUGCAGCUAUCCUUACAAACAGGCCACGCCUGUCGGAUCUACUCGCCACGCGCACGUAAGGAACUUUUACCUUAUGCGUCUGCGCACUCAAAGACUGUGAAACGCGCCAUUGCUUUGAUGUGUUUAGAAUCUUCCUUAAUGCAAUCUUGUCAUCACUCUGCGAACAUGAGUUUCAUUGCACAGUUAAAUAGGCUGCAGACUGCUGGUUACCCAAGUGUGGUGGUAACAUCAGUCUCGGAAGUAUUGCUUCAGAAACUGAAAGGGAAGCGGCACAAAAGUAACUGCAUCACACAAAAGAAGAGGCCUGAAGUUGUGCCGUAUUGCCACAGACUGGCUCACAAUCUAAAUAAUGUCGCCACUAAAUACCAAAUUCCGGUAGUGUUUUCCGCUCCUCAGAAACUGUCAAUGUUGUGCUGCCGUAUUUCUAAAAUAAGUAAAAAACCUGAUUGUGAAAAGAACUAUGUGAAGUUUGUAGAAUGCAGCGUCGGUGUCGUUUAUAUAAGAUUCCCUUGUCAUGUGGCAAAGUGUAUGUAGGGCAGUCAGGCCGCUGUGUUAACGAGCGCCUUAGAGAACAUAAGCCAUACAUGAUCCAUAGCAACAGGCAAAGGUUCCCAUUUGGCUCAGCAUUGUAAAACGUCCAAAUGCAAACCCAUGUUUUCUGAUACCACGAUCUUGAAAAAGAGCCGUGACACCACCGCCCGAGAGUUAUCGGAAGCAUUUUUCAUUAAGUCAUUGGAGUCGCAGUGCAGUAGUGUGCUUUCCUUAACUUUGUACAGCGCUGAAUUUGGUUUUUUGGAUUCUGUCACAUGAGUGCGCUCUUUGGAUCGGAUGUUGUUGGUGGCUGCACCGCAUGGUGCUCACUGCGCAUGUUCCUUUGGUUCGAGCGGUCUAUAAAGGAGUGACGCAAUAAAAUGCUGUCAGUUCAGAGUAGCGCCUUGUCCUGUCGUCUUUCUUGUGUGUGUCGUUUCGCGCUAAACAAAGUAUUCAUGGAUUCGCACCAACUAGCCCGCCAACGCAUUGUGCUGGUUAUACUUGUUCAUUUAAUGUAAAAUACUUGUGGAAAAGUAUUAGACUAUUUCAGUGGUCUUGUAUUGCAAUUCUGCAGCCAUUUCUAUUCUUUGUGAAACACGAACAUUUAACAGAGACGAGAACAAGACAAUGCGAGGACGAGCACUUGCUUUCAACUGCUGUGGUUAAUCUUGAAAUAUCAAUUUACGUAGGUAGAAAACUCAUGAGCCUCCGUGUUCUCUUUUUCCUGUUUCUCUGUGAGAUGUUCACGCUUUACACACAAUAUCAUGCAAGAACCAGCCAACUCAGUUAUGCAGUGGAGCUACCUAUUGUGCAUGUCAGUUCCAAUGGCUUGUUGUAAUCUAACAGGGCCGGCUGCUUUGUUUACAUUUUUGUGCAGAUGCAUACGAGCACUGUUUCAAAAACGCCGAACACUGUGGAUACGGAGGCAAGGAGGCUGAAGGACCUGAACAAGCACCUGGCCACGAUGCUUCGGAAUACAAAAUAAAGAUGGUGCUCCAGGCUGGCUUUUUCCCUGCGAGCGAGACGCCUUGUGGAAGAAGAAUGUUCACCAUGAGUAAUAUGGCCUGACUUGAGCUGACUGCUCAGUGAAAUAACUUUGUAUUUCACUUUAAGGUUGAAAAUUUUACCAUCUUAUGCCAGUAUCUUCCCGAAUAAAAUAGAAAGAUCAAAACGGUAAGCUCAUUCAAUCAAAUCGGCUGAAAUGUAUGGUACUGUGGUUUUUAGGGCAAGUAUAACCUUGGUCUCAGUUUGUUUCUAUGUUUAUUUAGCAUCUGAAAUGUUGCGAAUGCAUAGGCUUUUGUGUGCCAGGAUACUGCUAUACAGGGUGUUUAAGUGAACACAUUCAAAUUUUUUUAAAGGUUGCCUGUGGUAUAAAGUUUGUAAACAGGGAUAAGGUGCCUCAGAAAAGGGCCAACGUUUCGAUAGGAGGACCUAUCUUCGCCAAAGGUGGCCUCUUCAGCCUCGACAUGUUAGUUUUAAAGGGUUAUUGCAGUGACGUCAUGUGCGGUUGUUGUCGGUGCCAGUUGUUUAUAAAGGGAGAACCUUCAGAGGUAAUGAGCGCUGUCGCCUGACGUCUGUGGGUGUGGUUCCCAAGACGAGGGGACAAGAGCGAGAGAGUGGGUAGGCGAGGAGAAAAGAAAGAAAGGAGAAAGCAAAAAAAAACAGGGUGCUAAGGACAGGGAUGUAUAGGAAACCUUUCGACAAACAACAGUACCUAGACUAUAUGAGCCACCAUCCUAGGCAUUGGAAACAAGGCA